GGGGGGGGGGGGGGGGGGGGCGGGGGCGGGGGGGGCGAGGGGGCGUGCCGGGGGGGUUGCACGCCGGGAGGUUGGCGGCGGGCGGGUGAGUAACACGUAGGCAACCUGCCCAUAAGACCGGGAUAACAUUCGGAAACGAAUGCUAAUACCGGAUAGACGGACCUCUCGCAUGAGGGGAUCGGGAAAGGCGGAGCAAUCUGCCGCUUAUGGAUGGGCCUGCGGCGCAUUAGCUGGGUGGUGGGGUAACGGCCUACCAAGGCGACGAUGCGUAGCCGACCUGAGAGGGUGAUCGGCCACACUGGGACUGAGACACGGCCCAGACUCCUACGGGAGGCAGCAGUAGGGAAUCUUCCGCAAUGGACGCAAGUCUGACGGAGCAACGCCGCGUGAGUGAGGAAGGCCUUCGGGUCGUAAAGCUCUGUUGCCAGGGAAGAACGGGUAGGGGAGUAACUGCCCUUGCCAUGACGGUACCUGAGAAGAAAGCCCCGGCUAACUACGUG
rnacentral:rRNA from 1 species